GACUCUUGUGAAGGGCAGACUCACCCUGUUGGUCAGGAUGCCCUUUGGGGGGAAGGCCAGUGGGCCAGGCUGAUGAAGAUAAAGGGAUGAACUUCAGUUCACAUUGAAGGGAGGAAGCAGCUGCUGAAGAGAUGGACAAGGAGGAAACAAUGUGGUGUGUGCUGGUUUGCUCAGGCUCUUUUUUUUAACACCAGCUUCCACAGUUUCCGUAUUUUGAACCACUGAAAGAUCCAGUGACUUUUCCUGCUGAACUUUGGAACAAGAUUUUCACACCUAGGGCUGCUGGAGUUGAAGCUACUUUGUCCUGUACGGACCAUUGGCCUGAGAGCUGCCAGAUAUGAAACACCAGACUGCUAAAAGAAACACCUGAAGCAGUAAAUUACUAGACUCUUCCAGCUUGGGACUGUGCAAGGCAGACCAGCAGAAGCCAUAAGAAGUGUGUCUCCCUCCAGAACCCAGGACAUGCCCACCCUUUCAAAUGAUAGAAACAUCACUUAUGCUGGGCUACAGUACAGUUGUCCUCCUACACCAGAUACUCUAAACUGGAAAAAUGCCACUGCCAGCCAAAGAGUCUUUGAAAAGCCCAGAGCCUAAUGACUAAUUUAACCUGAGGGGGGAAGGAUGAGAAUCUUUCUUCUGAUCUUGAUGAGAGUACCACAUGGUAGUAUUCUUAGGCAAGGCCAGCGGCUUUGCACUGCUUGCCUUGGAUGCAUUUAUCAUUCCUAGGCACAGACAAUGCCCUACCACAAAGGCUUUGUAUGGAAUUUGCUAUGUUUGACACAGUUCUGCUUAGCUCCGUGUUUCAUGCUCUUAGUCCCACCUGAGGUAGCAGAUGGACCCUCCCCACCUCUAGAGACUGAAUGUGAAGAGUACACGUGACUUCUGCCUCUCCUUAUCCAAACUGAAAGGAAAAGGAGAUGAGCAUAAUUCUGCAGCCUUGAGAACCCCACAGGAGCAACUGAAUGCCUGCCCUCCUGGAAGAGCCCCACAGGAUUAGCUGUGUAGCUUGGGACACUGAGUGACCCUGAGCAGGAAGACCCUUUGCAGCACUUGGGCAUACACAGUAUCUGCCGAGAGGGUUUGUCACUAGAGGGAGUCACAGACUUUAGGAAAUAAGCAAACACAGCCCUGUUUGUAUUUCCAGUGGAUGAGCGCGUCACAGUUACGUCAAUGGAAAGACUCAAAAUUUCCUCUGAUUUCACUUUCAGUGUCAUUUAGAUCCUUAGCAAAUUUCCCAUAACAGUGUGCAUUCUUGCUUUCACGCUGCAUUUGGCUAGUGAGGACAGGAGUUCUUGACAUCAGCUGCCUCUCUGACGUGAUGUUCCCUUCCCUGUCCUUCCUCCUCCGCUCAGUUCCCAGCACUGUCCUGCAUGCCUCCCUUCUCUCUGCCUGAUGCUGAGCACUCUUUUCACCCUAUUUGGAAGAAAUUAAUCUCCCUAACAGAGGAAUAUCAAUAAGGCAGACACACCUUUUUAGUGAGUGAGCUGAGCAGCUCAGUGCAGAGCCUGGUUUGGCCAGAGCCCCAUGCUGGGAUGGUGGGUUCAGUCCCUACAUGGGCCAUUCCUGUGAGAGUUGGAUUCAAUGGUCCUCGUGGGUCCCUUCCAGCUCAGAAUAUUCUGUGAGUCUGUGAAAUAGCUGAGCCAGCACAAGCUGGAGCGGAGACCACAUGGUCAGAGUGGAAGAAAAAGAUGUUUGGCCUCCCUUUUUUGUCAGAAAACCUGAGAACUGAGUAGUGUGUUCAGCUGUAGCGUGAAACUGCACCCAUGGUCACCUUCCCAGGUGUCCUGCAGGAACAUGCAGGGCUCCUACAUAUGCACCAUUCUUAAACAGAUUAUCUUUCUUCACCCAGGUUCAAAUUAGGCAAUGCAAGCCCUUCCCUUGUAAAAUAAAAAGAAUCUUAAAGAAAAAAAAAAAGAAUUUUCUGAUUGCCUUUCUACUUAUAAAUUGGACUUCAUUAGAAACACCCUCCUCUCAUAUUGCCUUGCAUGAGGCAUACCCAAGCCUUCAAUAGGCUCAGUGAACCUCUGCUGACUUGUAUUAUUUGAAAGUGUGGAUCUUUGUGCAUGAAUGGAAUAUACAUUAUUUCUUUAAUAACACAGAAAUAAUUUCAAUCAUUCUUGAUUCUCCUUUUACUUGGUCUGCAUGAUUUGAUUUUCCCAGCCUCUUGUGCUGCCAUUCUGACAUGAUCUCAGAGACCCAUGAAUUAUGGUGGCUUCAGUGAGGAAUCAGACUGCCACUGGUAAGAAAUACAGACCCUCUGUCUGUUGAAUUUAUGUAUUUAAAUCCCCUGAGCUUUGUAGCUCAGCCUGAUAAUUUCCAGAAAUUUACUCUGUGCUAAAACAAGGACUUCUAGAAGCAUGAAAAAUAGAAUUAUGUGUUGAAAUUAAAGGACUUUUCAGAUCAAAAAUGAGGCACUAAGAGGGGAAUUUAGUUAUAGAUUUGAACAGCUAUAGGAUGUGGUAAGGCGUUCUGUAUUUUUGGAAGGCAACGUGGAUAGCAGCAUAUCUGGUUUCUGAAAGGCUUUGAGAUUUUCCAGGAGUGGAACUGCGUAAGCACAAUUAAAGCUGAGAGAUGGACAGCUAUACUGGUGACCACAGUAAAUGCUAUUUUGAGGUACCAGCCAAUGUCACAGAGUUUAUAAGCAUCAUUUGUCAGAAAUAAUGAUAAAGAAACAUUUUAAAUCUAAACUGCUAUGGGAAACUCCCGGUACUCUUCAAAUUUCAUCUUAUUCCGGUUUCUCAACCUGGAUCUGAUUCAAGACUUUCAAAGUUCUUGUGUCUGGAUUUCAAAGAAAAUGAACUGGAUCAGGGACAGAUAGCAAGGUCUAGAGUCUUCUGAAGUGCUGAGAGCCCAUGAAUCCAUGUGAAAACAGCUUCUGCAGUGCCAGCCCCUGCUCACAUACUUAAUGGGAGUUCAAAAGUCAGAGUUUGGGGUCGUCCUCUGCUUGUUUCUACCCUCAUGUUGUUGCUUAUUGAUUUACUCACAUCAGGUCAACUCCUGUCUCAUCCACAUCAACAGCCCACUUAAAACUUGCUUUGCAGAUCAGAGCUUGCAGUCUCCAGGGGAGAGCAGGCUGGGAGAAAGGGCAGAGCUGGGACACCGCUCAAAGACAGAGUCCAGGGGGCACAGCCUGAUCCUCCUGAUGCUGCCAGGGCACAACAGCUGGUGCCUUUGCUCUCACUGUGUCAGCUGCUGCCUCCCCACAGUCCCAGACCCUUUCUCAGCAGCAGCAGCAGCAGCCAGCCUGCUUUGCUUGCAGGCUUGGAAGGGUAGAAAGUAAGGAAUAGGUCCAUGGCUACUUUUGCUAGACCAAUAACCUGGCUGCCCUGGAAAAUUCGUUGUUUCAUUUAUGCUUCAUUUCCUGGUUCUCUUUGGACUCAAGAAGUCAAUGAAGUACAAAGCAUGGUCAUUAUUGCCCCAGUUACCCUGCUGUGAAUCUGUGUUAGUUGAUGUAAGGUGUAAGUUUUCAGAG